GACGAACGCUGGCGGCGUGCUUAACACAUGCAAGUCGAACGGAAAGGCCCUGCUUUUGUGGGGUGCUCGAGUGGCGAACGGGUGAGUAACACGUGAGUAACCUGCCCUUGACUUUGGGAUAACUUCAGGAAACUGGGGCUAAUACCGGAUAGGAGCUCCUGCUGCAUGGUGGGGGUUGGAAAGUUUCGGCGGUUGGGGAUGGACUCGCGGCUUAUCAGCUUGUUGGUGGGGUAGUGGCUUACCAAGGCGUUGACGGGUAGCCGGCCUGAGAGGGUGACCGGCCACAUUGGGAAUGCGAUACGGCCCAGACUCCUACGGGAGGCAGCAGUGGGGAAUAAUGCACACUGGGAGGAAGCCUGAUGCCGCAACGCCGCGUGCGGGAUGACGGCCUUCGGGCUGUAAAACGAUUUCGCCUGUGACGAAGCGUGAGUGACGGUAAUGGGUAAAGAAGCACCGGCUAACUACGUG
rnacentral:rRNA from 1 species